rnacentral:rRNA from 1 species
CAUGCAGUCGAGCGAACAGAAGGGAGCUUGCUCCCGGAUGUUAGCGGCGGACGGGUGAGUAACACGUGGGUAACCUGCCUGUAAGACUGGGAUAACUCCGGGAAACCGGAGCUAAUACCGGAUAGUUCCUUGAACCGCAUGGUUCAAGGAUGAAAGACGGUUUCGGCUGUCACUUACAGAUGGACCCGCGGCGCAUUAGCUAGUUGGUGGGGUAAUGGCUCACCAAGGCGACGAUGCGUAGCCGACCUGAGAGGGUGAUCGGCCACACUGGGACUGAGACACGGCCCAGACUCCUACGGGAGGCAGCAGUAGGGAAUCUUCCGCAAUGGACGAAAGUCUGACGGAGCAACGCCGCGUGAGUGAUGAAGGUUUUCGGAUCGUAAAGCUCUGUUGUUAGGGAAGAACAAGUGCGAGAGUAACUGCUCGCACCUUGACGGUACCUAACCAGAAAGCCACGGCUAACUACGUGCCAGCAGCCGCGGUAAUACGUAGGUGGCAAGCGUUGUCCGGAAUUAUUGGGCGUAAAGGGCUCGCAGGCGGUUUCUUAAGUCUGAUGUGAAAGCCCGGGGCUCAACCGUGGAGGGUCAUUGGAAACUGGGGAACUUGAGUGCAGAAGAGGAGAGUGGAAUUCCACGUGUAGCGGUGAAAUGCGUAGAGAUGUGGAGGAACACCAGUGGCGAAGGCGACUCUCUGGUCUGUAACUGACGCUGAGGAGCGAAAGCGUGGGGAGCGAACAGGAUUAGAUACCCUGGUAGUCCACGCCGUAAACGAUG